rnacentral:rRNA from 1 species
CAGUCGCCGCGGUAAUACGAAGGGGGCUAGCGUUGCUCGGAAUGACUGGGCGUAAAGGGCGCGUAGGCGGCGAUCAAAGUCAGGCGUGAAAUUCCUGGGCUCAACCUGGGGGCUGCGCUUGAUACUGGGUUGCUUGAGUGGGGAAGAGGGUCGUGGAAUUCCCAGUGUAGAGGUGAAAUUCGUAGAUAUUGGGAAGAACACCGGUGGCGAAGGCGGCGACCUGGUCCUUUACUGACGCUGAGGCGCGAAAGCGUGGGGAGCAAACAGGAUUAGAUACCCCCGUAGUCCCUGUCUCUUAUAC